rnacentral:rRNA from 1 species
CCUACGGGUGGCAGCAGUGAGGAAUAUUGGUCAAUGGGCGCGAGCCUGAACCAGCCAAGUAGCGUGAAGGAUGACUGCCCUACGGGUUGUAAACUUCUUUUAUAAAGGAAUAAAGUGAGGCCCGUGUGACUUUUUGUAUGUACUUUAUGAAUAAGGAUCGGCUAACUCCGUGCCAGCAGCCGCGGUAAUACGGAGGAGCCGAGCGUUAUCCGGAUUUCUUGGGCUUAAAGGUAGCGUAGAUGGGUUGUUAAGUCAGUUGUGAAGGUUUGCGGGUCAACCGUAAAAUUGAAGUUGAUACUGGCAGUCUUGAGUACAGUUGAGGGAGGCGGAAUUCGUGGUGGAGCGGUGAAAUGCUUAGAUAUCACGAAGAACUCCGAUUGCGAAGGCAGCUUACUAAACUGCCACUGACAUUGAUGCUCGAAAGUGUGGGUAUCAAACAGGAUUAGAUACCCGAGUAGUC